rnacentral:lncRNA from 1 species
AGUUUUCCAAAAUAUUUGGAAGAAGCACAAGAAUGGUUGAAGUGUGAACUUCCAUAUACUCAAGAAAAUCCAAGCAAAAGCUGAAACAACAAGCAACAACAAUCAAAAUUGCAGGUCCUUCCAGUUGUGGAAUGUGGGACGCCGCCUCAACGUGGCCUGACGAGAGGUGCCAUGUCCGCGCCCAGGAUCCGAACCCUCGGACACUGCAGCGGAGCUGCACGAACUUAACCACUCGGCCACGGAGCCAGCCCCAGAUUUGCUACUUUUUAGCUGUGCAACCUUGGGGUCUGCAAAGCACAGCGGCAAAGGCUGACUUUCGAAGCCCGAACUCGGAGGCUGCCGUCUAGAAGUCUGGAAGCAGAAUCCUGCUAAGGGCAGGGGAUUGGGGGGCGUCCCCGGAAAGCCCGUUCUCCGUGCUCUGAUUGCUGGGAGUUCCGCAGGUGUGCAACGCAAGCACAGAGAGGAGUGAUUCGACCAGCACUCACGCAGUUUGGGCGGCGACGGCCUAUCUCCCAGUUUUUCAUCCAUUAUUCAAGUUAGAGCCAAACUCUCCAGCGGGGAGCCCAGGCCUGUCUGGGGACCCAGGAGCCCGGGAGGCGGGCGCAGGCGGAACCUUAGUCCUCCGCGGCACGUUUCCCGCGACUCCGCU